rnacentral:rRNA from 1 species
AGAAUCAACGCUGGCGGCGUGCCUAACACAUGCAAGUCGCACGAGAAAGGAUAGCAAUACCUGAGUAAAGUGGCGCACGGGUGAGUAACACGUGAAUUAUCUACCUCCGAGUGGGGAAUAACUGAGAGAAAUCUUAGCUAAUACCGCAUAACACUUACGAGUCAAAGCAGCAAUGCGCUUGGAGAGGAGUUCGCGGCAGAUUAGUUAGUUGGCGGGGUAAUGGCCCACCAAGACGAUGAUCUGUAUCCGGCCUGAGAGGGCGCACGGACACACUGGAACUGAAACACGGUCCAGACUCCUACGGGAGGCAGCAGUGGGGAAUUUUGCGCAAUGGGGGAAACCCUGACGCAGCAACGCCGCGUGGAGGAUGAAUAUCUUGGUAUGUAAACUCCUUUCGAUGGGGAAGAUUAUGACGGUACCCAUAGAAGAAGCCCCGGCUAACUUCGUGCCAGCAGCCGCGGUAA